GGAUGUGAGGGCGAUCUGGCUGCGACAUCUGUCACCCCAUUGAUCGCCAGGGUUGAUUCGGCUGAUCUGGCUGGCUAGGCGGGUGUCCCUUUCCUCCCUCACCGCUCCAUGUGCGUCCCUCCCGAAGCUGCGCGCUCGGUGGAAGAGGACGACCUUCCCCGAUAGAGGAGGACCGUUCUUCGGUCAAGGGUAUACGAGUAGCUGCGCUCCCCUGCUAGAACCUCCAAACAAGCUCUCAAGGUCCAUUUGUAGGAGAACGUAGGGUAGUCAAGCUUCCAAGACUCCAGACACAUCCAAAUGAGGCGCUGCACGUGGCAGUCUGCCUUUCUAA
rnacentral:snRNA from 1 species